rnacentral:lncRNA from 1 species
AAAAAAAAGGUUUGGAUUCACGACGAACGGUCAUCGUGAAUCCAGGAUUUCAGCAACAGCCGAUUGCAACCUCGAGAACGACCCGACGACAGCUGUGACAUGCCUAUCACUGGCGCCGCACACAGGCCAUGCGCAGCAGUAGCAAUGGUGGCUAUUCUCCGAGUGGUUGCGGGAGCUAUAAAACCGAAUGGGUCUCAGUUUCUACUCCUCGCGAUUCCGACGAUGACUCCUGUGCCUGUCGCCGGCGUCGCACGCUUGCCGUGUAUAGCAUCGCGUCUGGAUUGUUGAGCUCGUCGUCGGGCACCUCAAACCGCUUCCUGGUCACGGGAGAGAGCCACAGCGUCUUCGGAAGAUCACGCAUAUCUCCGUGAAUUCGUCGGCAAUGGAGCUCUCGGUGCUGAUUCGGACCGCCGACAUGAGCGCAAUCGUUGCGCAAGCUCUGAUAGUUCGAUUGGCGGCAGGGAGCGAACUGGUCUAGCGGUGAGUGUGAAGACAACGGCGGCGGAUAGGUCUUCUCAAAGUAGAAGAUGAGUAUUUGCCAAAUUAUGAUUUGAACCCUGCAACUUUUUAAAAGUUUUAAGGAAGUCUUUUUGGCAG